rnacentral:rRNA from 1 species
GACGAACGCUGGCGGCGUGCUUAACACAUGCAAGUCGAACGGUAAGGCCCUUCGGGGUACACGAGUGGCGAACGGGUGAGUAACACGUGGGUGAUCUGCCCUGCACUUCGGGAUAAGCCUGGGAAACUGGAUCUAAUACCGGAUAGGACUCCGGACUGCAUGGUCUGGGGUGGAAAGCUUUUGCGGUGUGGGAUGGGCCCGCGGCCUAUCAGCUUGUUGGAGGGGUGAUGGCCUACCAAGGCGACGACGGGUAGCCGGCCUGAGAGGGUGACCGGCCACACUGGGACUGAGAUACGGCCCAGACUCCUACGGGAGGCAGCAGUGGGGAAUAUUGCACAAUGGGCGCAAGCCUGAUGCAGCGACGCCGCGUGAGGGAUGACGGCCUUCGGGUUGUAAACCUCUUUCAGCAUCGACGAAGCGAAAGUGACGGUAGGUGCAGAAGAAGGACCGGCCAACUACGUGCCAGCCGCCGCUGUAA